AUUGAACGCUGGCGGAAUGCUUUACACAUGCAAGUCGAACGGUAGAGGGGGCAACCCCUCGAGAGUGGCGAACGGGUGAGUAAUAUAUCGGAACGUGCCCAGUCGUGGGGGAUAACGUAGCGAAAGUUACGCUAAUACCGCAUACGAUCUAAGGAUGAAAGCGGGGGAUCGCAAGACCUCGCGCGAUUGGAGCGGCCGAUAUCAGAUUAGGUAGUUGGUGGGGUAAAGGCUCACCAAGCCAACGAUCUGUAGCUGGUCUGAGAGGACGACCAGCCAAACGGGAACUGGGACAGGGGCCAGACGCCUACGGGAGGCAGCAGUGGUGAAUUUUGGACAAUGGACGCAAUUCUGAUCCAGCCGUUCCGCGUGCAGGAUGAAGGCCCUCGGGUUGUAAACUGCUUUUGUACGGAACGAAAAGGUCUCUCUUAAUACGGGGGGCUCAUGACGGUACCGUAAGAAUAAGCACCGGCUAACUACGUGCCAGCCGCCGCCGUAACAC
rnacentral:rRNA from 1 species